CAUCUGUUAUUUUUUCCUCUCUCUUCUCUCUCUCUUCUCUAUCUCGCUAGCGGCUCUUUCAUCUCUGUCGCGUGUUAUCUCCCUGGAGGCCGUUGUUCUCAUCUCUCUUUAGUUUAAACCACUAUGACAUGGCGUCUUCAACAAAUGAAGCUCAUUCAUCCACUAUCAAGCUCAGAUUUGUGAUAAUGUCGAUUUAACUAAUUUAUCAGAUCUUUUUGAGAGUGUUAGAAUGAUAUUUGCAGCUGGGGAGAAGGAGAGGACUGAAGGUUCUGCAGGAUUCAUAUUGGUUACAUCCUUUACAAUGUCAAAAGUACACUCUUUUCUGGUCUCUGAGGGUGUAAGCCCAACUGAUUUUGAUGCUUACAUCUGUAAUAGUGGUGCAGAUCUCUAUUAUUCAUCUCCUCAAUCAGAAGAGAAUCCAUUGUUGUUGAUUUAGUGCCGGGGCGUCUAUGUGUGCGGAGCUUGAGGCAACUAUUUUUCCAAAGGGUGGGAAAGUGAUUGGUACUACUACAAACACAUCCCGGAAGAGCUCUGUAGCUGGGAACAGUCCUGGAGUUCGACUAAUUUUAAUAAGAAGAUAGAUGAGGCUAUUAUCAUUGGUCACUUGCAUAGGCUGAAUGAGAAGAAUAUAUCAGCUUAGAACAUGAAAAUAUAAGUUUACUCAAAUAUAAGAUUGUGCUAUUUUUUCAUGCUUGAUGUAAUUAUGUAUAUCAUAUUUUCCCUGUAUAUCUAUGUCCGUGGAGACAUUAGACAUGGUUUUCGCAAUUGCUUUUUGUCGCAAAAGACCAGUGGAUUCAUUAAGGCUUUGGAUUUGUUAAAUGUUAAAUUUUUAGUUUUUUAUA